UUACCGAGUGCGGGCUGCCUCCGGGCGCCCAACCUCCCACCCGUGACUACCUAACACUGUUGCUUCGGCGGGGAGCCCUCUCGGGGGCGAGCCGCCGGGGACUACUGAACUUCAUGCCUGAGAGUGAUGCAGUCUGAGUCUGAAUAUAAAAUCAGUCAAAACUUUCAACAAUGGAUCUCUUGGUUCCGGCAUCGAUGAAGAACGCAGCGAACUGCGAUAAGUAAUGUGAAUUGCAGAAUUCAGUGAAUCAUCGAGUCUUUGAACGCACAUUGCGCCCCCUGGCAUUCCGGGGGGCAUGCCUGUCCGAGCGUCAUUGCUGCCCAUCAAGCCCGGCUUGUGUGUUGGGUCGUCGUCCCCCCCGGGGGACGGGCCCGAAAGGCAGCGGCGGCACCGUGUCCGGUCCUCGAGCGUAUGGGGCUUUGUCACCCGCUCGAUUAGGGCCGGCCGGGCGCCAGCCGACGUCUCCAACCAUUUUCUUCAGGUUGACCUCGGAUCAGGUAGGGAUACCCGCUGAACUUAAGCAUAUCAAUA
rnacentral:rRNA from 1 species